UUACUCUGGUUUCCCUUCAAAACGUAUAAAUCUUUCGCCUUUUACUAAAGAUUUCCGUGGAGGGGAACACUCAAAUGAGUCUAUCUCUAUUUUUGAAUACCUUGUCUAAUAACAAGGUC